GCCCGGUUAGCUCAGUUGGUUUAGAGUACUUUCUUGACAUGGAAGGGGUCAGAAGUUCAAAUCUUCUACCGGGCA
rnacentral:tRNA from 1 species